CGCGUCAUUGAAGUCGAGGCGGGGCUGGUGUGCUUCGCUCCUACUGAUGGAUUGGAAGGUUAAGAGGCAAUGGAAAGGAAAAAGAAAAAGGCUGAAUGUGCAACCAAAGUCAACUCUUUGUCAACGGUUUACGACUCCACCUGUUGCGACGUAUCGCUACAAUCACCUCCGAGGACGUUACCGAGGGAGAUGCUACGCUACUCCAGUAAUUCGCCAGCCAAGAAGGACGCGGUCCCGAAACCUGGAGGGAACCGUGGCCGCCAUUGCGGCGUCCCCGGAAGGACGCGAUCUUCCAAGAUGGCGGACGCGGUCUUCCAAGAUGGCGGACGCGACGUCAGCUGAUCGCCGAAGGUCGCGAGGCGCCGUCGAGACGAGCCACGACCCUUACGUCACCAGAAUACGUGCCAAAAGGGAGGGCGACGCAGAGGAAAUGGCCGAGGAGCUUCGAAUUCGACGUCACGUGGCCCGAUGGCUCCUCUGCCGCAGCGAGAUAGAGAUUAGAAGAGGAUCGAGAAGCGCGACGUCAAACUUUCCAGUCACGUGACGAGAAACGCGGGACUUUUGAAUUAGAGAAGAAUUCCCACGGAGGAUGGUACGUCGUAACGAGUUGAAAUAUCGCACGAGGCUGUGACCUGGAAAUGGGAACCGAGACGACAGGUGUACGGGUCGCAUCGCGAGGGAAGACUCCGGUCCACAGGGAGUACGUGCGAAAGUGCAGGGUGCAAUCCAGGGUUCCGUCGUUCCGAGGUCCUAAAGGUAGACUCGUCUUAGGAUUCUCAUAGAGUGGGC